rnacentral:rRNA from 1 species
AGAGUUUGAUCCUGGCUCAGAUUGAACGCUGGCGGCAUGCCUAACACAUGCAAGUCGCACGCGAAAGGGGGCAACCCCGAGUAGAGUGGCGGACGGGUGCGUAACGCGUAGGAAUAUACCUGGUAGUGGGGGACAACCCGGCGAAAGCCGGGCUAAUACCGCAUACGAUCUACGGAUGAAAGCAGGGGACCGCAAGGCCUUGCGCUAUCAGAUUAGCCUGCGUCGGAUUAGCUAGUUGGUGAGGUAAAGGCUCACCAAGGCAACGAUCCGUAGCUGGUUUGAGAGAACGACCAGCCACACUGGGACUGAGACACGGCCCAGACUCCUACGGGAGGCAGCAGUGGGGAAUAUUGGACAAUGGGGGCAACCCUGAUCCAGCAAUGCCGCGUGUGUGAAGAAGGCCUUCGGGUUGUAAAGCACUUUCGAUGGGGAAAAACAAGCUAGACCUAACACGUCUGGCCCUGAUGGUACCCAGAGAAGAAGCACCGGCUAGCUCUGUGCCAGCAGCCGCGGUAAUACAGAGGGUGCAAGCGUUAAUCGGAAUUACUGGGCGUAAAGGGUGCGUAGGUGGUUUGUUAAGUCAGGCGUGAAAUCCCUGGGCUCAACCUGGGAACUGCGUUUGAUACUGGCAGACUCGAGUCUGGUAGAGGGUAGUGGAAUUCCGCAUGUAGCGGUGAAAUGCGUAGAUAUGCGGAGGAACAUCAGUGGCGAAGGCGGCUACCUGGACCAAGACUGACACUGAGGCACGAAAGCGUGGGGAUCAAACAGGAUUAGAUACCCUGGUAGUCCACGCCCUAAACGAUGGGUACUAGACGUUGGGAGGUUUAUCCUCUUGGUGUCGCAGCUAACGCAAUAAGUACCCCGCCUGGGGAGUACGGUCGCAAGAUUAAAACUUAAAGGAAUUGACGG